CUGUCGCUGACCUCGAGGUCGUGCACGCCGGAGCGUGUCCUCUCACAUAACGCAAUCCAUCUCACCCUUUGUGCACCACCGCGUGGGCCCCCUUUGGGGGGCUCGCGUCUUCACACAAAACCCCCCCUUUAAAAGUGUAGAGUGACCUCAUUUAUGAAAUCAAUACAACUUUCAACAACGGAUCUCUUGGCUCUCGCAUCGAUGAAGAACGCAGCGAAAUGCGAUACGUAAUGUGAAUUGCAGAAUUCAGUGAAUCAUCGAAUCUUUGAACGCACCUUGCGCCCCUUGGUAUUCCGAGGGGCACACCCGUUUGAGUGUCGUGAAUACCUCAACCUCCUUGGUUUCUUCUGGAGACCGAAGGAGGCUUGGACUUUGGAGGCCCUUGCUGGCGUCUCUGCCAGCUCCUCUCAAAUGAAUUAGUGGGGUCCCCUUUGCCGAUCCUUGACAUGUGAUAAGAUGCUUCCGUGUCUCGGUUUCUGGCUCUGUUGCU
rnacentral:rRNA from 1 species